rnacentral:rRNA from 1 species
GACGAACGCUGGCGGCGUGCCUAAUACAUGCAAGUCGAGCGGAGUGAAAUUGAAAGCUUGCUUUCAAUUUCACUUAGCGGCGGACGGGUGAGUAACACGUAGGCAACCUGCCCCUCAGACUGGGAUAACUACCGGAAACGGUAGCUAAUACCGGAUAAUUCCUUUGGACUCCUGUCCAAAGGAUGAAAGACGGAGCAAUCUGUCACUAAGGGAUGGGCCUGCGGCGCAUUAGCUAGUUGGUGGGGUAAUGGCCCACCAAGGCGACGAUGCGUAGCCGACCUGAGAGGGUGAACGGCCACACUGGGACUGAGACACGGCCCAGACUCCUACGGGAGGCAGCAGUAGGGAAUCUUCCGCAAUGGGCGAAAGCCUGACGGAGCAACGCCGCGUGAGUGAUGAAGGUUUUCGGAUCGUAAAGCUCUGUUGCCAGGGAAGAACGUCCGGUAGAGUAACUGCUACCGGAGUGACGGUACCUGAGAAGAAAGCCCCGGCUAACUACGUGCCAGCAGCCGCCGUAACAC